UCUAUGGGGUGGCACAGAGUCGGACACUACUGACGCGACUUAGCACCAGCAGCAGCAUGUGAUUCUUGAUUAUUAUUUACACUAUCAUAGAAACACAAAUAUGUAUGUGGGUUGGAUAGCCAAUAUCCUUGGUAUUUACUUCAAAUGAGUGAUGAAAAUACCUGUUAAAACUUGGUGCUGGGACCUCCAUUUUUUAUGUCCAGUGGUCACCUUAUAAACCAGGCAUGAAGAGAAACAAAAUGAUUAACUCUUUGUGUCUUGAGGUUUAUUCCCUUCAGCUGGUCUAAUGGAAUGGGUAUAAUGAUAAUCAUUUCUCAGUUUAUCCCUACCCUUUCUCUUUUUAAAUCUAUAGGAGCAGUUGUGAUGUCAGUAAAGCUGUGGUUAAGUAUAUAUGUUAGAGGACUUAAAAUACAAACAAUAGAAGUGUUUUGUAGUAUAGUUGUUACCACUGACUGAAAAGGUAAGAUUUACCGUGAAAAUUCAUAAAGUAAGACGAGUAGUCAGCUGCAAGAUAUUAAUACAGACCUUGAAACUUAAUAAGUGUUGGCUGAUACAAGAACAAAAUACUGUAAUACAAACUAGAAUGUCUUCAAGAACAGAAGUCUGCUCUUGCCAGCUCGUGGCUCUUAGGUUAACAAAUCUAAUCCAGGAUGCAUCUUAACCCUGCAGCAAAUAAUAUUUUAUUUUUGCCUUAUUUCCAGAUACCAGCUUAACACAAGUGCUCUACCCUAUUGCCUGGCUUUGAGCAGUGUUCUGCUCUGAAAAGAAAGUUAUAUGUACAUUUUAUCUUCCGUUUGAAUACUACUUCUUAACUGCAAACUAAUAAGCAUUGAACCCAGUAUUCACAGAGCCUGCUCUGUUUUAUAAAAUUUCUCAGCUCUUUUCAGAUCGUUCUAAAUGGUGAUUCCUUUUCUUUUUAUUAAACUCAACUUUGCUUUUUCUUCAUAAAGUUAAGGGUAGGUAACAUGAGUCCCUCUUGCCCUUUACUAUUAGAAUCUGGCAUCAGGAGCAACUGUUGCUAUGUAUGAUUUUCUUCCAAAACUUCCCUUUUCUGGGAUGAAAGUUGUAUUGAUUCCAGUGUUUGUUAUCUAGUUGAGCAGUAUCAGUAAAUUCACUGGCUCACCUUCAUGUUUAGUGAAUACCUAACCAUAUUAUUUUAUAUCCAUGUCUUGAAUGCCAAUCCUAAAACAGAUUGCAGGGAGGAAAGAGGGUACUUGGACCAUACUUUGAAUAAAAGACAUUUUGAGGGUUGUUCCCCCGCCCCCGCCCUUAAAAACAAAAGCCAACUCCUUAGUACCGGAUGUGUUCAGUGUACUUUUUGAAAAAUUGUUCUGGUCAUUUUGUUCAUUUUUCCUGAAUUAGUAUUCUGCCCUGGUCCCUAAAGAUAGUUUUAUAUGCUAACUUUUGUUUUGCCUUUCUAGCUACUAAAAUAGAUAAUGGUUAUUACAAACGGCACGUUUUUAAAUGGUCUCCGGUGUGGAUUGCUCAGCCAGUGAUGGAGUGAGUACAUUGAGGAAGAAGGUGUCAUUCGGAAUCCAGAACCAUUCCACAAGGAUAACUACCUGAUACAUGAUUUCGUGACUGAUGCUGAAAUGGAAGCCAACCAUGCAGAAAUUUGGGGGAAAAUGAAUCUGAAGAAUGCACGGGGAAGUAGGAAUUCAUUUCUAGCAUUCCCAAACCUGCUUUGUCACGUCAGCUUCACUGCAGUCAGAGGAAAAGAACUGAGUUCAUGGAAAUUACCAACUAAACCUUACGUCUGUCUGUAAUGUUUUUAGGAAAUGUACUGAAAGGUAAGUGAGAUAUCUGGUUUGAAGAAAGACUUUAUUAGGUAUUUUUAAACCAGCUACGAACAUGUUAGUAGAAAUGGAUGGCUUCUUUAUUCUGAGCGUCAGGAAUCUUGCCCUCGUUUGGUGUGGUUCUCAGUGGUUGUGGAGACGGUGGAGUUGUUCCAGCCAGCGUGAAGCUUUUCCUCUACUUCCUGGCAGUCACGCUGGAACUGGCACUAAAGUGUAGCGUGCCAGUUUUUGUUGCUUUGUCCUCAACUCCUCUCAAAAAAAAUAUUUUCAGUUGAAUUUUAAUUUUACCCCUUAAACUAUAUGGAAAAUUUUUCAAAUGCUUCUAAGUUCCUACCAGAACUAUAUUUGCAUUAUAUAUAGUCAAACAAGAAUAAAAUAAUGGGUUUUAUAGGUCUCUGUUAACCUUACCUACAUUGAUUUUUAUAGAUAAUUUUAAAAUUACUGAGGUUACAUUGUUCCACGUUUAGUAAAUCUCUGUGUAAUAGGCCUUGUGCCAGACCUGGAGUAAAACAAUGGAAUAGCACACAGUUCAUGUACUCAAUAAAUUUUUUAUUGAUAAAAUAGUUAGAAUUUUAGUUUUGGGAAUCCGAAUCUGAUAAAAUUAGACUAAUUCCAUUUCCCAAUCAAAAAUCCUCUGUAGCUUGCUAUUUAAAUAUGACAUUGUAUUUGAGAGAUCCAGUGCUUGUGUUUGAGAGAGACAUUUACUAAAUACUUCCUAUGUUCCAGGUACUGUUCUAAGCUCUUUACAUAUAUGUUUUUUAAUCCUUAUAACUGUCCUGUAAGAUGGGUGCUAUUACUAAAACCGGUUUUAAGUCAUUAAGGCAGAAAAGCUAAUUACCUUAUUCAGCUUUGUACAGCUAUGAUCUAAGACCAAUAUGUGAACCCAGACAGGCUGAUUGUGCCUGGACUCUCAAUUUGGGCGUGAUAUUUAUAUGCAGUACCUGGCUAGGAGUACCUGCAAGAUAUUCCAGAUUCUGAAUAAAACUUGAGUAGUUUUAAAAGGGAAAGUUUCAGUAGCAUAGAAAGACCAUAGAUAAUAGUUACCAAACUUUUCAGAGAGCCAAAAAUUCCCUUUUUUUAACUCUCGGCUCCAGGACAGCCAUUUAGCGUGAUGACGUCACCGCUGCCCUUUUACCCUCCUGCCACUCCCUGAAGUAGUGCGCAUGCGCACACAGCUUCGGGGGCUGCGGAGAAGCAGAGCUUAGCAACGGUUACCUGUUAGGUUCACGACCUAUUGUUGCUUCCGUCCAAUCCUCUUUCUUUUGGGAAUGUGGACAUUUUCUUUAGCUGCUAAAUCGUGAGAAAAUACGACUGCUGAGAUUUUUCCAUAGGAUUCUUUUAAAAAAUAGAUUAGGCUCUGUACAUAGUAAAAAAAAAAAAACUUGUGAGGACUCCAGGUAGGUAAUUUACUUCCUAUUGUAUGUAUAGUUUCUUUGAAGUCUCUGCACCUCUAUCCUGUUUUAUAUUUCUGUAAAUCUGAUUUGACCUUUAAUAAACUGUUUUCUGAAGUGA